AAGUGUGUUAGUUUAAUGGUAGAACCUAACGCUACGGUCGUUAUGGUACAAGUUCGAGUCUUGUAUGCACUU
rnacentral:tRNA from 1 species